GACGGAGGGCGCGAGCGUUGUUCGGAAUUACUGGGCGUAAAGCGCGCGCAGGCGGGCGCGGAAGUCGGGGGUGAAAGCCCGGGGCUCAACCCCGGGUUGGCUGUCGAUACUCCGUGUCUGGGGACCGGUAGAGGCCGGUGGAAUUCCCGGUGUAGCGGUGGAAUGCGUAGAGAUCGGGAAGAACACCUGAGGCGAAGGCGGCCGGCUGGGCCGGAUCCGACGCUGAGGCGCGAAAGCGUGGGGAGCAAACAGG
rnacentral:misc_RNA from 1 species